CCAUUAACAAAGGGAAGCAAGACCGCGAGGUGGAGCAAAACCCAAAAAAUGGUCCCAGUUCAGAUUGUAGGCUGCAACUCGCCUAUAUGAAGUCGGAAUUGCUAGUAAUCGCGGAUCAGCAUGCCGCGGUGAAUACGUUCCCGGGCCUUGUACACACCGCCCGUCACACCAUGGGAGCCGGUAAUACCCGAAGUCAGUAGUCCAACCGCAAGGAGGGCGCUGCCGAAGGUAGGAUUGGCGACUGGGGUGAAGUCGUAACAAGGUAGC
rnacentral:rRNA from 1 species